UUAAGCAUAUCAAUAAGCGGAGGAAAAGAAACCAACAGGGAUUGCCUCAGUAACGGCGAGUGAAGCGGCAUGAGCUCAAAUUUGAAUCCCUCGGGAGUUGUAAUUUGAAGGUUGGAGGUUCCAGCAACACACUGCCUAAGUCCCUUGGAACAGGGCGCCUUGGAGGGUGAGAGCCCCGUGAGGCAGCCGUGGCGCGUCGUAACCUCCUUCCAACGAGUCGAGUUGUUUGGGAAUGCAGCUCAAAGUGGGUGGUAAAUUCCAUCUAAAGCUAAAUACCGGCGAGAGACCGAUAGCGAACAAGUACAGUGAUGGAAAGAUGAAAAGCACUUUGAAAAGAGAGUGAAACAGUACGUGAAAUUGUUGAAAGGGAAGGGCUUGCAAGCAGACUCGGCCUCGGCCGGGCCAGCAUCGGUUUGGCGGGACGGACAAAGCGCGAGGAAUGUGGCACCCCUCGGGGUGUGUUAUAGCCUCGCGUCCUACGUCCUCGCCAGACCGAGGUCUGCGAUUCUUAUCUAGGAUGCUGGCGUAAUGGUUGCAAGCCGCCCGUCUUGAAACACGGACCAAGGAGUCUAACGUCUAUGCAAGUGUUUGGGUGCAAAACCCCAGCGCGGAAUGAAAGUAAGAGGUUGGAGCCUCCGGGCGCACAAUCGACCGACCCUGAAGUACUCGGACGGGUUUGAGUAGGAGCAUAGCUGUUGGGACCCGAAAGAUGGUGAACUAUACCUGAAUAGGGUGA
rnacentral:rRNA from 1 species